AUAUUACGGAAUUCUCUAGCCUUGCCGAGGGAAUUACAUCAUUAAUAUAACGAGGGAAAGAUAAUUUGACAUUCCCUGUCACUCGCUAAUUAUUGUCUAAUUAUCUUACGACUUGUAUACCGAUCUAGUCCCUUCGCGUUCACAUACACGGACAAACAAUGGGAUAUUGUUCCAUACCCUGUGUCUGAAAUACAUAAUGAAACAUUGUCUUAAAAAUUGUUGUAAACAGGUGACCUAUAUUCAAGACACGUAUAAAAAUAAAACUGAAUUUGUAACAUGCAGGAUAUAAGCACUGUCUGCUGCUUUUCAUAAUACAAGAUACUCAGCAGAGAUUGAUGUGAUUGUUCCGUGUAAUAUUUAAGUGCUAAUUCUUUGGAAAAAACAUGGAAACUGACAACGAGAUACAAACUUCUGUUCUUUGUCUCUCACUGUGUGUGUGUGUGUAUGUGUGCGUGUGCGUGUGCGCUCGUGCUUUGUGUUUUUGGUUAUUUAUUUCUUUAGAAAUAGAACGUGACAUGGGGCAAGCAGAGCAAAUUCAGCCCUAAUAUCUUGGAGAAAGAUCGUACAUUAGCCAAUUUAAUUAUCCCAAUUUACGGGUUUUCUAUGUUUUAAAUUGCACCAUGGUGUCCGAGGACGUACAUCUAAGUAGUUACAGGAUAAACAAGAAGCCCUGGAUGGCGAUCCUACAACUUCAACUUUCAACAUAUGUGACACUUACCUAAUGUUUAAAAACAAUAUCCAUACCGAAUUCUAUCUAUCAUGUUUAAAUGUUAAAAAGUACCGAGUAAGCUUAAGCACGAUUCCGAUGCUUAUCUCAUGAACUUUUAAUUGAGAAAGGUAGAUAUGUAAAUACGAAUAGAGAAAAUAGAACUUGUCAGUUAUGUAAUUCAAAUGCAAUUGGAGAUGAGUAUCAUUUUCUUCUUGUAUGCCCUAACUACAGUAAUCUUCGAAGAAAAUAUAUAAGAGAAACACAUUAUGUCCAUCCCAACAGGCUUAAGUUUUCACUACUGAUAAACAGUUCAAAUACUACAGAAAUCGAAAACCUGUCUAUGUAUAUUUUCAACGCAUUUGUACAUAGAAAGCGUAUUGUUCCUUGAACCCGUAUAAAGCAAUGUAUAUAGUGUAGUAUAGGCCUCACCUCAUGUCCAAGGAGGAAAAUCCCAGUACGUAAGCAUUCAUGUUAACAACAUGUGAGUGAGUGAUUUUUUAGAUUAACGCCGCUUUUAGCAAUAUUCCAGC